rnacentral:rRNA from 1 species
AGAGCGAACGCUGGCGGCAGGCUUAACACAUGCAAGUCGAGCGGGCGUAGCAAUACGUCAGCGGCAGACGGGUGAGUAACGCGUGGGAACGUACCUUUUGGUUCGGAACAACCCAGGGAAACUUGGGCUAAUACCGGAUAAGCCCUUACGGGGAAAGAUUUAUCGCCGAAAGAUCGGCCCGCGUCUGAUUAGCUAGUUGGUGAGGUAAUGGCUCACCAAGGCGACGAUCAGUAGCUGGUCUGAGAGGAUGAUCAGCCACAUUGGGACUGAGACACGGCCCAAACUCCUACGGGAGGCAGCAGUGGGGAAUAUUGGACAAUGGGCGCAAGCCUGAUCCAGCCAUGCCGCGUGAGUGAUGAAGGCCCUAGGGUUGUAAAGCUCUUUCGCACGCGAGGAUGAUGACGCUAGCGUGAGAAGAAGCCCCGGCUAACUUCGCGCCAGCAGCCGC